rnacentral:lncRNA from 1 species
GGACCGCCUACGUGGUGGUGUCUGCCGCAGGCCAUAGGGAUCCAGCCCACUUAGGCAGUCCCUUGGGGACGCGGCCUUCCCUCCGGAGCGGAAAGGCGCUUCCCGCCCGCCCUGCGGUAAUCCCGGAAGCCCUCAGCCGUUAAGCUAAAAUUUCUGUUGCUUUGGCUACUGAUGGAAACCUGUUAUACAUCUCACUAUGUUGCUCAGACUGGUCUGGAACUCCUGGCCUCAAG